rfam:Clostridium cadaveris strain NLAE-zl-G419 genome assembly, contig: Ga0070261_105
CCUUAGGGUAGAGGAGCUGUAUUUAUAAGUAGCUUUAUUAGCGGGCACGCUGUGAUAUAAAGUGAAAGGAAAUAUAGCCGAAGGAUUAAAUUUGGCACGAAUUAAUCCUGGUUCAUCAUAGAAUAUAUGAUGAACUGUCACUAUUAUUAGUGGGGAGCUACAGAGGUA